AGCGAACGCUGGCGGCAGGCUUAACACAUGCAAGUCGAGCGGGCACUUUCGGGUGUCAGCGGCGGACGGGUGGGUAACGCGUGGGAACGUGCCCACUGGUUCGGAAUAACUCAGGGAAACUUGAGCUAAUACCGGAUACGCCCUUUUGGGCAAAGGCUUGCUGCCGGAGGAUCGGCCCGCGUCUGAUUAGCUAGUUGGUGAGGUAACGGGUCACCAGGGCGACGAUCAGUAGCUGGUCUGAGAGGAUGGUCAGCACCACUGGGACUGGGACACGGCCCGAACUCUUGCGGAAGGGAGCAGUGGGGAAUAAUGGAUGAUGGGCGCAAGCCUGAGGCAGCCAGGCCGCGAGAGUGAUGAAGGCCUUAGGGUUGUAAAGCGCUUUUAACCGGGACGAUAAUGACGGUACCGGAGGAAUAAGCCCCGGCUAACAUCGU
rnacentral:rRNA from 1 species